GGGAGAAAGUCCCCAGCCAAGAAAGCAGGAGAGAGCAUGAUGUCUGGACCAUCGGCCGCAUCGCACUACGUGGAUCAGACCCUUGGCAUCACCCAGUCUCCCUUCGAUCGGUCCAAGCCC
rnacentral:RNase_MRP_RNA from 11 species